GAUGAACGCUGGCGGCGUGCCUAAUACAUGCAAGUCGAGCGAACAGACGAGGAGCUUGCUCUUUUGACGUUAGCGGCGGACGGGUGAGUAACACGUGGAUAACCUACCUCUUAUACUGGGAUAACUACGGGAAACCGGAGCUAAUACCGCAUAAUAUAUUCUACCGCAUGGUUCAAUAGUGAAAGACGCUUUUGCUGUCUCUUUUAGAUGAAUCCGCGUCGCAUUAGCUAGUUGGUAAGGUAACGGCGUACCAAGGCAACGUAGCGUAGCUGACCUGAGAGGGUGAUCGGCCACACUGGAACUGAGACACGGUCCAGGCUCCUACGGGAGGCAGCAGUGGGGAAUCUUGGACAAUGGGCGAAAGCCUGACGGAGCAACGCCGCGUGAGUGAUGAAGGUCUUCGGAUCGUAAAACCCUGUUAUUGGGGAAGAACAAAUGUGGAAGUAAAUAUGCACGUCUUGACGGUACCUAAUCAGAAAGCCACGGCUAACUACGUG
rnacentral:rRNA from 1 species